UGAGGAAUCUUGCGCAAUGGGGGAAACCCUGACGCAGCAACGCCGCGUGAGUGAAGAAGGCCUUCGGGUCGUAAAGCUCUGUCAGGUGGGAAGAAAUGGAUGGGGGCUAAUAUCGUCCAUCCUUGACGGUACCAUCAGAGGAAGCACCGGCUAACUCCGUGCCAGCAGCCGCGGUAAUACGGGGGGUGCAAGCGUUGUUCGGAAUCAUUGGGCGUAAAGCGCGCGCAGGCGGCUUGGUAAGUCAGAUGUGAAAUCCCUGGGCUUAACCCAUGAAGUGCAUUUGAUACUGACUCGCUAGAGUACGGGGGAGGAAAGUGGAAUUCCUGGUGUAGAGGUGAAAUUCGUAGAUAUCAGGAGGAACACCGGUGGCGAAGGCGACUUUUUGGCCCGAUACUGACGCUCAGGCGCGAAAGCGUGGGGAGCAAACA
rnacentral:rRNA from 1 species